GACGAACGCUGGCGGCGUGCUUAACACAUGCAAGUCGAGCGGUAAGGCCCUUUCGGGGGUACACGAGCGGCGAACGGGUGAGUAACACGUGGGUGACCUGCCCUCAGCUCUGGGAUAAGCCUGGGAAACCGGGUCUAAUACCGGAUAUGACUCCACGACGCAUGUUGUGGGGUGGAAAGCCUUGUGCGGCUGAGGAUGGGCCCGCGGCCUAUCAGCUUGUUGGUGGGGUGAUGGCCACCAAGGCGACGACGGGUAGCCGGCCUGAGAGGGCGACCGGCCACACUGGGACGUGAGACACGGCCCAGACUCCUACGGGAGGGCAGCAGUGGGGAAUCUUGCGCAAUGGGCGAAAGCCUGACGCAGCGACGCCGCGUGA
rnacentral:rRNA from 1 species